rnacentral:rRNA from 1 species
GUCCACGCCGUAAACGAUGAAUACUCGGCAUCUUUCGACCGAUUUUCGGCCGAGGGGUGCCCCAGCUAACGCGAUAAGUAUUCCGCCUGGGAACUACGAGCGCAAGCUUAAAACUCAAAGGAAUUGACGGGGCCCGCACAAGCAGCGGAGCGUGUGGUUUAAUUCGACGCAACGCGCAGAACCUUACCCAGGUUUGACAUGUGACUGCAAGCCGGUCAAAGCCGGUCGCCUUCGAGGGUGUCACACAGAUGCUGCAUGGCUGUCGU